rnacentral:rRNA from 1 species
ACUAAAUAGAUACCCAGGUAGUCCACGCCCUAAACGAUGAUUACUCGACAUUGGCGAUAUUACUGUUCAGUGUCUGAGCGAAAAGCGUUAAGUAAUCCACCUGGGGAGUACGCCCGCAAGGGUGAAACUCAAAGGAAUUGACGGGGGUCCGCACAAGCGGAGGAGCAUGUGGUUUAAUUCGAUGAUACGCGAGGAACCUUACCUGGGCUAGAAUGCGCGUGAAUGUUUCAGAAACGAGACAGGGCUCAGCAAUGAGACACAAAGCAAGGUGCUGCAUGGCUGUCGUCAGCUCGUGCCGUGAGGU